rnacentral:lncRNA from 12 species
GGGGGGAGUUCUCCAGCCCAGUCUGGCCUCCUGCAGACACAUCACCCCACAGGCUGCAGGUGCAGUGCCUGCAAACCGAUUCUUCAAACACUUGCCGACCAAUUAAUUUUUUUUUCAGGUGAUAUUCUGGUUCUGCCAUUGACUCUCCUCAGGAUAUGGAGCUUCUUAGCCUCAGACAUCCACGUUGAGGCCAAUAGACUCAACAAGCAUGGUGGAGGACUGGAUCUGUCUUCAAGCCGGGCCCUCUGAGGAUGAUGGUCCGUCCUUCCCAGGGCGAAACGGCCUUCCAGGGGCCUCUGAGUGUUCUAUCCCUUGGCCCCGAAUUGCUUACGUCUGUGUGGCCCGCGUGGCGCAGGUAUGUAAUAAAUGCUCCGGAAGCCUGCAGUGACU